CGGACGGGUGAGUAAUGUCUGGGAAACUGCCUGAUGGAGGGGGAUAACUACUGGAAACGGUAGCUAAUACCGCAUAACGUCGCAAGACCAAAGAGGGGGACCUUAGGACCUCUUGCCAUCGGAUGUGCCCAGAUGGGAUUAGCUAGUAGGUGGGGUAACGGCUCACCUAGGCGACGAUCCCUAGCUGGUCUGAGAGGAUGACCAGCCACACUGGAACUGAGACACGGUCCAG
rnacentral:rRNA from 1 species